ACCGUGGUAAUUCUAGAGCUAAUACAUGCUAAAAAUCCCGACUUCGGAAGGGAUGUAUUUAUUAGAUAAAAAACCGAUGCCCUUCGGGGCUCCUUGGUGAUUCAUAAUAACUUAACGAAUCGCAUGGCCUUGCGCCGGCGAUGGUUCAUUCAAAUUUCUGCCCUAUCAACUUUCGAUGGUAGGAUAGUGGCCUACCAUGGUCUCAACGGGUAACGGGGAAUUAGGGUUCGAUUCCGGAGAGGGAGCCUGAGAAACGGCUACCACAUCCAAGGAAGGCAGCAGGCGCGCAAAUUACCCAAUCCCGAUUCGGGGAGGUAGUGACAAUAAAUACUGAUACAGGGCUCUUUUGGGUCUUGUAAUUGGAAUGAGUACAAUCUAAAUCCCUUAACGAGGAACAAUUGGAGGGCAAGUCUGGUGCCAGCAGCCGCGGUAAUUCCAGCUCCAAUAGCGUACAUUAAAGUUGUUGCCGUUAAAAAGCUCGUAGUUGAACCUUGGGUCUGGUCGAUCUGUCCUCCUAAUCGAGCGCACGGAUUCGAUCGGGCCUUUCCUUCUGGGGAGCCCGAUGCCCUUCACUGGGCGUCGUGGGGAACCAGGACUUUUACCUUGAAAAAAUUAGAGUGUUCAAAGCAGGCCUUUGCUCGAAUACAUUAGCAUGGAAUAAUAGAAUAGGACAGAGGUUCUAUUUUGUUGGUUUCUAGGACCGCUGUAAUGAUUAAUAGGGAUAGUCGGGGGCGUCCGUAUUCAAUUGUCUGAGGUGAAAUUCUUGGAUUUAUUGAAGACGAACUACUGCGAAAGCAUUCGCCAAGGAUGUUUUCAUUAAUCAGUGAACGAAAGUUAGGGGAUCGAAGACGAUCAGAUACCGUCGUAGUCUUAACCAUAAACUAUGCCGACUAGAGAUUGGAUGGUGUUAUUCUAUUGACCCAUUCAGCAUCUUGUGAGAAAUCAAAGUGUGGUUCUGGGGGGAGUAUGGUCGCAAGGCUGAAACUUAAAGAAAUUGACGGAAAGGCACCACAAGGCGGGAGCCUGCGGCUUAAUUUGACUCAACACGGGGAAACUCACCAGGUCCAGACACGCGAAGGAUUGACAGAUUGAGAGCUCUUUCUUGAUUGUAUGGUUGGUGGUGCAUGGCCGUUCUUAGUUGGUGGAGUGAUUUGUCUGCUUAAUU
rnacentral:rRNA from 1 species